rnacentral:rRNA from 1 species
ACAGGGAUUGCCCUAGUAACGGCGAGUGAAGCGGCAACAGCUCAAAUUUGAAAUCUGGCUCCUUUGGGGUCCGAGUUGUAAUUUGCAGAGGGAGCUUUUGGCGUCGGUCGUGGUCUAAGUUCCUUGGAACAGGACGUCACAGAGGGUGAGAAUCCCGUACGUGGCCGCCGGCCUUCGCCUUGUAAAGCCCCUUCGACGAGUCGAGUUGUUUGGGAAUGCAGCUCUAAAUGGGAGGUAAAUUUCUUCUAAAGCUAAAUACCCGCCAGAGACCGAUAGCGCACAAGUAGAGUGAUCGAAAGAUGAAAAGCACUUUGGAAAGAGAGUGAAAAAGCACGUGAAAUUGUUGAAAGGGAAGCGCUUGCGGCCAGACGUGCCCGCGGUUGAUCAUCCAGGCUCCAGCCUGGUGCACUCCUCCGCGGGCAGGCCAGCAUCAGUUCGGGCGGUCGGAUAAAGGCCUCUAUCACGUACCACCCCUCGGGGUGGCCUUAUAGGGGAGGCGCAACACGGCCAGCCCGGACUGAGGUUCCGCGCAUCUGCUAGGAUGCUGGCGUAAUGGCAGCAAGCGGCCCGUCUUGAAACACGGACCAAGGAGUCUAACAUCUAUGCGAGUGUUUGGGUGUCAAGCCCGAGCGCGCAAUGAAAGUGAACGGAGGUGGGAACCCUUACCGGUGCACCAUCGACCGAUCCUGAUGUCUUCGGAUGGAUUUGAGUAAGAGCAUAGCUGUUGGGACCCGAAAGAUGGUGAACUAUGCCUGAAUAGGGUGAAGCCAGAGGAAACUCUGGUGGAGGCUCGCAGCGGUUCUGACGUGCAAAUCGAUCGUC